UGUUAAAACACCAGUUCUCAUACAAUCACCAAAGUUAAGCAACGUCGAGCCUGCUCAGUACCUUGAUAGGUGAAUGCUUGGGAAUACCAGGUGAU